AAACUGCCGGCAACCGGCGACAA
rnacentral:snRNA from 1 species